AAUGCUCAUCAGUUAUUAAUUAGAAAUUCAUUUCACUGAAUAAAUAAUGCUCAUGAUUGAUGAUGAAACUUGUAAUUAGGUUCUUGGAGUAAUGCACAGGGGAGGAAGCCUUUACACUUGAAUCCAGGCUAUUAAAUACUGCUCAUUUAAGGGACUGCUAUACCUCUUGUCAUAAACCUGGGCUGCCACAGUAGCAUCUGGAUUCAGGGAGCAGGAACAGAAGUUGUUAUUCACAGAGGUUAUGUUAGACUACCUGCUUCAACAACAACUUAUGAUCCUUUGUGCUGCUGACUGAUUUUUUUUCCAGAAAACUAAAACAUUCAUUCCCAAAGUGUCAGACUAGAGCAGCAAUAACCUCUUAUCAUGUUCAAAAACAACUGGCUACAGUGUUCCCACCAAAGGCAGAACAGAUUAGGUUAUUACUAAUCUGUGUCCUUUCAAACAUAUAGUAUGGUUGCUAUGUUACAAAAUCUCAUGGGUCCUUCCCGGCAUCAUGUAGCCUACAGUCUUUUUAAGUGACGAGAGAGAACUGUGAAAACUCAAGCCAUCUAUGGCUCACUAUUGAUUUUACACAGAAGACCCAACCAUUGUUGAUAGCCUUUUUGAUAUAUAUUUCUUGAAACCACCAUUCCCUUUGGAGUUUUGUGGAAAAUAAACCAGUCAAUAUACACCUAUUAGGAUUUCUUGAUCUGAGUCCAUAAACCCACGGUGUACACUGUUUCCGAUGCUCAUCGCAUCAUAAUGGCAGAGAGACUGAAAGCUAUUACUUUUGGAGGAUGAACGUCAAAACAAUUAAAUGGCUUUCUGUACUGUUCUCCUUUUAGGCCAAUUAACAUGAUUGACCAGCAGCAGGAAGGUGCACCAUGACGCCCCUCAACAAAAAAAGGGGGGGAAAAAAAAAAAAAACAGCAGCUGAUGAUGGUGUAGCCUCAUCAAGCAAGAGUACUACCGGUCCUUUUCACCUGUCAUCACUGGUGGGAGUGAGCAAUGGCACUAACAAUGCCCCUGUGACUGGUGGAACUCCUCCCUUUGGGCUUUCCAAUCAAAUCUGGCCCCAUGUGGACCAGGUCCUAACAACAGACGAGGCAAUGUGGACUUCUGAGGGGAGCUUUGUGCUCUGACAGGAGCUCAGUCUAUCCACCCAUAACACAUGACUCAAGAAAGAAAAACUGUUAUUUGUUUGAAUACUGCAGAUACGAGUUAAGGAAUUAAUGUAGAAGAUACUGCUUGACCUGCUGGGAUUUAGCUACUUAUUCCUUUCUGCCUUUUGUGUGUUUUUAACUACAAGAAAAGUGUGUUUGGAGGCACUAAAUUGUUUGCAAGUUGUAUUUAUGCCAUGAAUCCUAGUUCAGUGCGGGAUAAAUAUGGUAUAAAAGAAGAUUUAUUAAUUUAUACUGAGGUCAUCUGAAGAUAGCAGCUUCUUUAUGGUAUUGAAAACAGAAAAUAUUCUGCUAAGGAAUUGAUUUUCUAUUUGGAGCAAGUAAUGUUAUUUCUCUGUGCCUUGUGGGAAUUACUACACACUACAGUAUGGAUGGUAGUGGUUGUGCUUGUUGUUGAACUGUCUUUGUAAUCAAUGACUGCUGUUAUACAGAAUAAAAGCACUCAAAGACAAAAA